AUUUAAAUAGCUUAUAUAUAGAGCAUAACAUUGAAGUUGUUAGGGAGGUAAAAUAUCUUUAAAUA
rnacentral:tRNA from 1 species